UACAGAGGGGGCAAGCGUUAUUCGGAAUUAUUGGGCGUAAAGGGCGCGUAGGCGGCAUUGCAAGUGGAAGGUGAAAUCCCUCGGCUUAACCUGGGAACUGCGUCUGAUACUGGACGGCUUGAGUAUGGGAGAGGGAUGUAGAAUUCCAGGUGUAGCGGUGAAAUGCGUAGAUAUCUGGAGGAAUACCGGUGGCGAAGGCGGCUACCUGGACAAUUGCUGACACUCAGGCACGAAAGCGUGGGGAGCAAAAGGG
rnacentral:rRNA from 1 species